CAGUUUCCACUUGCUGCGGGCAAAUCCAGUGAAUAUGAGUAUCGAUGCCACCUGCAGUGAGAAUUUGACCUUCCCCUGCAAUCACUUCCGUGGCAGCUCCCAACGGAAUCGUAAUAUUGGGUUGUAUGUCAGGAUUUCCCGCCUUGCCAAUUUUCCAGAUACGACCAUUCUUUAAACCGACAUCGGCUUUCACAAUGCCCCACCAAUCGACAAUAAGUGCAUUGGUAAUAACGGUAUCAGCAACAUCAUCUGCCAACAAUUGGGACUGUCCCAUGCCAUCUCG
rfam:Acinetobacter sp. TTH0-4, complete genome.